rnacentral:rRNA from 1 species
UGGGGAAUAUUGCACAAUGGGCGCAAGCCUGAUGCAGCCAUGCCGCGUGUAUGAAGAAGGCCUUCGGGUUGUAAAGUACUUUCAGCGGGGAGGAAGGCGAUAAGGUUAAUAACCUUGUCGAUUGACGUUACCCGCAGAAGAAGCACCGGCUAACUCCGUGCCAGCAGCCGCGGUAAUACGGAGGGUGCAAGCGUUAAUCGGAAUUACUGGGCGUAAAGCGCACGCAGGCGGUCUGUCAAGUCGGAUGUGAAAUCCCCGGGCUCAACCUGGGAACUGCAUUCGAAACUGUCAGGCGAGAGUCUUGUAGAGGGGGGUAGAAUUCCAGGUGUAGCGGUGAAAUGCGUAGAGAUCUGGAGGAAUACCGGUGGCGAAGGCGGCCCCCUGGACAAAGACUGACGCUCAGGUGCGAAAGCGUGGGGAGCAAACA